rnacentral:rRNA from 1 species
UACGUAGGUGACCAGCGUUGUCCGGAUUUACUGGGCGUAAAGAGCGCGCAGGCGGUCGUUCAAGUCGAGUGUGAAAGCCCCCGGCUCAACUGGGGAGGGUCAUUCGAUACUGAUCGACUGGAAGGCAGGAGAGGGAAGCGGAAUUCCCGGUGUAGUGGUGAAAUGCGCAGAUAUCAGGAGGAACACCGGUGGCGAAGGCGGUUCUCUGGGCAUUACCUGACGCUGAGGAGCGAAAGUGUGGGGAGCGAACAGG